rnacentral:tRNA from 1 species
GUCCCAGUGGCUUAUAACAAAGCAUGGCACUGAAGAUGCCAAGUUGGCCGCCACAUGUAGCCCAUGGACA